ACCAAGAAGGGUAUGAAGAUUGCUUGCACCCAGCCCCGGAGAGUGGCGGCCAUGAGUGUGGCAGCCCGAGUGGCCCGGGAGAUGGGGGUGAAGCUUGGGAAUGAGGUGGGCUACAGCAUCCGGUUUGAGGACUGCACAUCAGAGCGAACUGUUCUCCGCUACAUGACAGAUGGAAUGCUACUCCGGGAGUUCCUCUCUGAGCCUGACCUCGCAAGUUACAGUGUGGUGAUGGUGGAUGAAGCUCAUGAGCGGACCUUGCACACAGACAUUCUCUUUGGAUUGAUCAAAGAUGUUGCUAGAUUCCGACCUGAGCUCAAGGUCCUGGUGGCUUCGGCCACACUGGACACUGCUCGUUUUUCUGCCUUCUUCGAUGAUGCCCCUGUCUUCCGAAUCCCUGGACGCAGGCCCCAGAGGCUGACUACCUGGAAGCCUGUGUGGUGUCUGUGCUGCAGAUCCAUGUGACCCAGCCCCCUGGGGAUAUACUGGUGUUCCUAACGGGACAGGAGGAGAUUGAGGCUGCCUGCGAGAUGCUCCAGGACCGCUGCCGCAGACUGGGCUCCAAGAUCCGGGAGCUCCUGGUGUUGCCCAUUUACGCCAACCUGCCCUCCGACAUGCAGGCUCGAAUCUUCCAGCCCACGCCCCCCGGGGCCCG
rnacentral:lncRNA from 1 species